rnacentral:sRNA from 1 species
AUCACGGCAACGUCAAUGAAAUCACAGUCUCGCCGAAAUUCGGUCAAUCGCGCGCCGCGGGCCGGCGGGAUCUUCAAUCGCGUAGCAGGGCCGGUUCGCGAGGCGCUCCGGCUAUCCCAGCCCCCCAGCCCCCCGGGGUGCGCGCGGACCGGCCACUGCUACGCACCGAAAUCAGACCCCCAAUAGGCCGCCUUCCGGGCGGCCUUCUU